UGAGGUGUAGCUUAUUGGUAGAGUGACUUCCUAGUAUUUAUGAGGCCCUGGGUUCAAAACCCAGCACCACAA
rfam:Ictidomys tridecemlineatus contig054099, whole genome shotgun sequence.